UACGAAGGGUGCAAGCGUUAAUCGGAAUUACUGGGCGUAAAGGGUGCGUAGGCGGUUCGUUAAGUCUGUCGUGAAAUCCCCGGGCUCAACCUGGGAAUGGCGAUGGAUACUGGCGAGCUAGAGUGUGUCAGAGGAUGGUGGAAUUCCCGGUGUAGCGGUGAAAUGCGUAGAGAUCCGGAAGAACACCGGUGGCGAAGGCGGCUCGCUGGGCAGUGGCUGACGCUGAGGCGCGACAGCGUGGGGAGCAAACAGG
rnacentral:rRNA from 1 species